UGGGGAAUAUUGCACAAUGGGCGAAAGCCUGAUGCAGCGACGCCGCGUGAGGGAUGACGGCCUUCGGGUUGUAAACCUCUUUCAGCAGGGAAGAAGCGAAAGUGACGGUACCUGCAGAAGAAGCACCGGCUAACUACGUGCCAGCAGCCGCGGUAAUACGUAGGGUGCGAGCGUUGUCCGGAUUUAUUGGGCGUAAAGAGCUCGUAGGCGGUCUGUCGCGUCUGCUGUGAAAACUCGGGGCUUAACCCCGAGCCUGCAGUGGGUACGGGCAGACUAGAGUGUGGUAGGGGAGACUGGAAUUCCUGGUGUAGCGGUGGAAUGCGCAGAUAUCAGGAGGAACACCGAUGGCGAAGGCAGGUCUCUGGGCCACAACUGACGCUGAGGAGCGAAAGCGUGGGGAGCGAACAGGAUUAGAUACCCUGGUAGUCCACGCCGUAAACGUUGGGCGCUAGGUGUGGGGCUCAUUCCACGAGUUCCGUGCCGCAGCUAACGCAUUAAGCGCCCCGCCUGGGGAGUACGGCCGCAAGGCUA
rnacentral:rRNA from 1 species